rnacentral:lncRNA from 1 species
CUGGCCUCUGAGUUCGUGAGGCGAUCAGGUGGAUUCCCUCCAGUGCCUUGAUGUCCGUCAACCACCUGCCCCAAGAAGAUGCUUCCAAUUUCCUGCCUGGAAGGCUUAUGUUCUCCACGUAUCUCUUCAUUGAUGCUUUGGGAAAGAAGCAGGACUGAUUCGCCUAUUUAAUCCACUGAUUUUGGAACAGUGCUUUGAUGAGCUGAUGCUGUUAGGGUUGAGAAAGAUUCGCUACAGCUGCAGCAGGGUGCUGGGCAUCCAGAUAGAGAUGUGUACCAGUGCUUGAAAGGUGCUGAGGGCAUCAUACCAAACUUGAAGAGAAGCAGUGCUGAACACGAGAGUAAUAUCUGCAGUCAAGGGGUCCCAGCCUUGGCUCCUUGAGACUACCCUGCACUUGGUUGGUGCUGUGACUUCGGCUUCAUGUUCCUACAUCACCAUCUUUUCCUUGCCAGAACCCUGUGCAUCUUUCUCAGUCCAGUGCAGACAACACAGGUGCUGACCUUCUGGGGUCACUGCCUUUGGAAGGAGCUCCUUCUGGUGACCCUGACACUUGGCUUUAGCUCCCAUCAGUCUCUGUGGCUGUUCAUCCCUUGAGGCCAAGGCAGAAGGAGACAGACAGGCACUUGUGACAUGGAUACAGUAUUAUAUGCUGUGAUGGCAGGAGCUGGAGCAGCCAUUCUAGACCAUGAGGUGGAUGAAGAUGACAGAAGAAAGAAGGAACCUGGGUACCUGACCUAUAAACCCCUCAUUGGCCCUA